GAUGAACGCUGGCGGCGUGCCUAAUACAUGCAAGUCGAGCGAACAGACGAGGAGCUUGCUCCUCUGACGUUAGCGGCGGACGGGUGAGUAACACGUGGAUAACCUACCUAUAAGACUGGGAUAACUUCGGGAAACCGGAGCUAAUACCGGAUAAUAUAUUGAACCGCAUGGUUCAAUAGUGAAAGACGGUUUUGCUGUCACUUAUAGAUGGAUCCGCGCCGCAUUACCUAGUUGGUAAGGUAACGGCUUACCAAGGCAACGAUGCGUAGCCGACCUGAGAGGGUGAUCGGCCACACUGGAACUGAGACACGGUCCAGACUCCUACGGGAGACAGCAGUAGGGAAUCUUCCGCAAUGGGCGAAAGCCUGACGGAGCAACGCCGCGUGAGUGAUGAAGGUCUUCGGAUCGUAAAACUCUGUUAUUAGGGAAGAACAAAUGUGUAAGUAACUAUGCACGUCUUGACGGUACCUAAUCAGAAAGCCACGGCUAACUACGUG
rnacentral:rRNA from 1 species